rnacentral:rRNA from 1 species
UGAGGAAUAUUGGUCAAUGGACGAGAGUCUGAACCAGCCAAGUAGCGUGAAGGAUGAAGGUUCUAUGGAUUGUAAACUUCUUUUAUAAGGGAAUAAAACCUCCCACGUGUGGGAGCUUGUAUGUACCUUAUGAAUAAGCAUCGGCUAACUCCGUGCCAGCAGCCGCGGUAAUACGGAGGAUGCGAGCGUUAUCCGGAUUUAUUUGGUUUAAAGGGAGCGCAGACGGGGGAUUAAGUCAGUUGUGAAAGUUUGGGGCUCAACCUUAAAAUUGCAGUUGAUACUGGUUCUCUUGAGUGCAGUUGAGGCAGGCGGAAUUCGUGGUGUAGCGGUGAAAUGCUUAGAUAUCACGAAGAACCCCGAUUGCGAAGGCAGCUUGCUAAACUGUAACUGACGUUCAUGCUCGAAAGUGUGGGUAUCAAACA